UUCAUUCUUCACAUGGUGAGUGCAGUGGUUACAAAUUAAAGAAUUUCGUGGAGUAAAGAAAGAAAAUAAAGGAAAAAGUAUUUUCAAAUAAAUAACUACGAAAAGACAAUUAAAACAUUUAUAAUUUAAUAAAAAUUUAAUAUAUUUCUUAAGAAAGUGUUUAAAAUACAAAAAAGAGCCGAACAACAACUACACCUAACAAAAACCCAAGCAGACCAGGAGCACCUCCACACAAAACCGAAACAACAACAAAGUUUGGAAAACUAUCACAUUGGUAACAACUACGUCUAACAAAAACCAGGAGUACCUCUUCACAAAAACGGAACAACAACAAAAUUUUGGCAAAAUUUAAAUAAAAUCACAUAUAAACUAGUCGAAAACCAAUAACACCUAACAAAAACCCAAACAGACCAGGAGCACCUCUACACAAAGCCGAAACAAACAACAAAGAUUUGGGAAAACUAUAACAUUGGCAACAACAAAUACACCUAAAACGGCAAUAUUACACACAUCAGGCGUACAUCAUCAAAAGACAAGAUUAGAAAAAAAAAACUACAACAAAAACUACAUGUGCAUGGAAAGAAAAACAGUCUCGCACAAAUGCUAGUAUCCAUCAAUGUCGCAUCUGUUACAGAUUCCAUCCUUUGAAGUAUUGUAAAACCUUCUUGGCAAUGAAUGUGGAACAGCGGAAACGAGAGGUCCGGAUUAAUAAAUAUUGUCUGAAUUGUCUGGCCAGGUCCCACAUCACUGCUGAUUGUACAUCGGAUCAGGUAUGCCAACGAUGUGGUUGGGCGCACCAUACCCUACUCCAUGCCCCCCGCCAUGUAUCAACAACAGCACAUUCGGAGGAACAACAAAGCAGAGAUGGGCGAAUAGCGUCAACUAAUGGAAAUGCGUCGUCACGACGUCCCCAAAGGUCACGUUUAGAUCAUCGUUUAGGACCAUACACGCGUCCUAGCUCCCAUUCACAUCCACGCUCCUAUUCACGCCAACAACGGUACAUUACGGAUCGUGCCACACGGUCAGAUGAUCCAUCGAUGUCAAAUCCGAAACAAAUUUUGAUGGGUGCUCUGCGAGCACUAGAAUACCUCGCUCAGACAAUAUAAUGCAGUUGGCCAUAUUGGCCAAGGGGCCCAACAUGUUGAAAGUACACUUUCGAUAAUUUCGUAAUUUUAAAAAAUAACCUUUAUAUUUGAAAGUACACUUUCGAUAAUUUCGUAAUUUUAAAAAAUAACCUUUAUAUUUGAAUUUAACAAUUUUUGUACCUUUACAAGUCACAAUAAUUAUAAUUUAUAUAUCGUGAAUUAAAAACUUACCUUCCACUUGUAACGUAGUUUUGUAGCUUAAAAUAAUGUAGCGUGGCAAAUGAGUUUUUGGGUUGAGAGCUAUUUUGUUUUUUCAUGAAUAUCAUUCCUGUUUUUCUUUUACCCAAGACUGGAUCCCAAAACCUCAUUCUCCUAUUAACAACAUUGGAUUUCAAUAAAAUGUAAGAUUGAAGUUAACAAAUUUAAA